UGCCAGCCGCCGCGGUAAUACGGAGGGGGCGAGCGUUAUUCGGAAUUACUGGGCGUAAAGGGUGCGUAGGCGGCCCAUCAAGUUAGACGUGAAAGCCCCGGGCUCAACCCGGGAAUUGCUGGGCAAACCGGUAUUCUUGAGGCAAGUAGAGGUGACUGGAACAACUGGUGGAGCGGUGAAAUGCGUAGAUAUCAGUUGGAACGCCGGAGGCGAAAGCGGGUCACUGGGCUUGUUCUGACGCUCAGACGCGAAAGCGAGGGUAGCAAACAGGAUUAGAUA
rnacentral:rRNA from 1 species